UUUGCCGACACUUACAAGGCGUGUGAAGUGGAUGCAAGAAACGAAGCCGGUACAGCCUGGAGAUCUGGUGAUCGUAAUCGAUGAGUCAAAAAGAAAUGGCUGGGUACGUGGACGUAUCCUGGAUGUAAUCGCAGGCAGGGACGGACGGAUUCGGCAGGUAUCAGUACAAACCUCUUCGGGAGUAUUCAGGAGGCCGGUGUCCAAAGUAGCAGUACUCGAUGUAGCUGACCUUGCAGUGGAGGAUCCUACCGGUCCUCACGGGGAGGGGGAUGUUGCUACGACUGCCAUACCGGCAACCCGGCGCGCCACGCUUGCACCGAAGUAUAUUGAUACUCGUUGAUGCUGUGUUGAUCAGUACUAUAGUAGGUACAAUACAUGUACAUGAACUCAUAUUAUACAGGCUAUAAAUGAAAUCGAUUGUUGACAUAAGGAUAAACCACACUAUAUUUUGAUUUCUAUUAAUUAGUUAGUUCAUGCUUGAAAUCGAAUAUUCAAAGUUUUCCGUUAAAACCUCAAAAGAGACCAUAGCAGUGGGAAAACUAUUCGCAUUAUCUGGUAGGUUACAAUUGAUAUUCCACAAAGUGCUAGAGCCUAAUUAUGUUUCCAUAGCUAUCUCAGCAACCGUAGAAAUAUCUUAAGCAGCAUAAAAACUCAGUGUUUAAUUGCUCAAACUAAGUUAUGCACUGUUAAAUGUAAGUAAUACCAUACAGAGUUGCCCUCCUCAAAUACUUAAAUGAAUUAAUUUGUAUUUUAGCUUGAAGCUGUAAUAAAUUUGCUCUCAAGACAGUGCUCGGUUUUGUUUCUCACAACAAUUAGCA